AGUGGUGCCAAUAAGUACCAAGUUCUUUCUGCCUUUGGCUUCCUGCUUCCUUCCACUGAAUACACGGUAGCUAGAGGGAAAACCUGUAAAUACAUGUUGUGUGCCUUAAUGCACGAGAAGUAAUCUCUUACUACAGUUGUUUUCGUUUUCAGUACUCUCCAGAGACUUCUGAAAAAUUGGAGUUACAGAGUAACUAAAGGCAAAAGGAAAUUCUCCCCUUUUCUCCUUUCAAAUCUUUCCAGUUUUGGAAAAGGUUCAGGGUGAUUAAACUAGAAUUUUUUCCUUUUCCUUGUCAUGCUGCCCUGUGCCCUUCCAAAGGUAAAAAUGGAUUUGAGAAGUUCUCAACUGGUAGGGGAAAGAAGGAAAGGAAAAUGAAAAAGUAUGUGUUCAGACUGAAGUAAAACCCCCCAGACUUGAGUCAUCGCUCACCCUUCUUCAUUUGGAAUGAUAAAACUGCAUAAGUAAAAAGAGCAAAAGGGAGGAGAAUCAAAGCCUGGUCAUGACUGUUUCAAUAUCCUUAAUGCACUGUUGUUGAAAAACCUCUGGUUCUCCAUGAGAAUUUUCUGAACAGAGGAGACAGAGAAUGUAUGCUUCAGUUUCACCAAGAGUAUUGGAAAAUCUUGUGCAAGUCUGUGUGAGGUAACCCAGCAGGAAAAAUGUGAGGACAUUAAAAACAACAACAAAAAAAAACCAACAACAACAGAAAAAUUUUUUUGAAAAAUGAGAGCUCAAAAACUAGGAAUUAUUUUCUACAGAAGCAGAACUGAAAUUAAGCUUGUGAACUACUUUUUUGAGUUUCUUCUUUACAGUGUCAUUGUGUAGAGAAGAUGACGCUAUCAAAGCCAGUGUAUUCACUGAAUUUCAUCUUACAGAGAGAAGUGUAUUUCAAAAUGCAGUUUCCAUGAGAAUAUCUGUAUUGAAUCAUUCAGAGUUUCUGUUUUUGAAGUAUAAUUUCAUGGCUUUUCAGAACAUGAAAUGGUUAAUAGUUACACAUAGAGGAAAUCUAUGUUUUAAUUACGGUUUGCAUCAUAUUUUAGUUAUUAUAGCACUUUAAUGUUGAUACAGUUUGUCAGGAUGUAGAAAGUAGUUUCUGUGUAUGGAAAUAAAUC